UGACAAGGUCGAUGUCCUAACUCUGUUAUAUUUUGUAAUUACCAUGACAAGGUCAAUGUCCUAACUCUGUUAUAUUUUGUAAUUACCAUGACAAGGUCAAUGUCCUAACUCUGUUAUAUUUUGUAAUUACCAUGACAAGGUCGAUGUCCUAACUCUGUUAUAU